CCUUUAGCUCAGUUGGUAGAGCAACUGACUCUUAAUCAGUGGGUCCCGGGUUCGAGUCCCUGAAGGU
rnacentral:tRNA from 1 species